AGAAGCACAGCUGAAACGAAUGAGAUUAUGAAAACCGCCGCACACCGGUCCGAGUCAUGAUGCUGACGAAUCAGGAAUGAAGAAAGGCUGCGUCUUUUGUCCUAUGUCCUGUUGCUUGUCUUGACGCAGUUUGUGUGCGGCGGCCGCCCUUAGACUCCCAUUCGGAAGGUUCUUGGUUCGAAUCUCAGCCCAUAUAUCUCGUAUACUGAUUUUCGUAGUUUUAUUCAAACUUUCCAGGCAAAUGAGCGGUAGCCUCAUAGUGAAUGUAGCGCCCAGUAAUCUGAAGAUCGUUACGUCAUUGUUACAAAGUUACUAGAUCUUGUUCUUAACAUGAGAUGGGAUCCCCAGAAUUGCAUACCAAGCUCUCACUGAACACACAGGACAUUUCUUCUGUAAGGGUUCCAACUCGAGGGGUGACGUACCCUUGAAGAAGUUUUUACAAAUUACCACAUGAAGAGUAAGAUUUUCUGGGUUGUAACGCCGUGUAGUUGAGAGACGAACGUUUGAAAGAACAUAUCACGUCCAUCUUCAAGGUCGAAGAGUCAGCUACGCGAGGAAGAAGCUUACCGCUUGCUGCUGCUGGUUUCUUACUUGGCUUAACUUUUGCCGUGAAGAUGGAGGCGAUAAGUUCCUUCGAAGCGUUGACCUCUCUCCGAACUACACCGUGUUACAACGCAGAAGACCGCAUUCAUCAUUGCUACCGCCAUGAAAACCCAAAAAUCCAACAAAAAUUUCCACACGAUUUAAUACUCAGUAAGUGGCACCACUGAGCUAACUUGCUCGGUACCGUGUAGCUGAAUGUCCAUGCAAAACAGUCGCCUUCUGCAGUGUGAUUAUGUUCUAGAUAGACAGAUCACCAGCAGCGAUGCCAAUUUUGAACUGGACACAGCUUGAUGUUGCGUUGUCACCGAAGCCCUGUGAAAUUUCAGGUAGCAGAGCACCACAUACCUCGAUGGGUCGAUAAAUACCACAGAUGAUUCAGUUACAAUAGCCAGUCUUAUACCCUGAAGAUGGUGGCGACACAUUCCUCCGAAUCAGCUGUAAACAUGUACCAGAAGAGAACACCGGCGACUGAUAUUCAUGUGUUGUGACGAAUUAUAGAACGACUCAUUGCUGUGCAAAGCCAGCGAGAUAAGUAGAUAUACAACAGCCAUUACUAAGCAAUGGCUUCCCAAACAAGAGGGUUUCCAUGGCAACAAUUGGAUACAGCAACACACGUCCAUGCGGAGAUGUUAUAAGCAUGACAGUUAGUGAAGUGAU